rnacentral:rRNA from 1 species
UACAGAGGUCUCAAGCGUUGUUCGGAUUCAUUGGGCGUAAAGGGUGCGUAGGCGGGUCUUUAAGUCAGGGGUGAAAUCCUGGAGCUCAACUCCAGAACUGCCUUUGAUACUGAAGAUCUUGAGUUCGGGAGAGGUGAGUGGAACUGCGAGUGUAGAGGUGAAAUUCGUAGAUAUUCGCAAGAACACCAGUGGCGAAGGCGGCUCACUGGCCCGAUACUGACGCUGAGGUGCGAAAGCGUGGGGAGCAAACAGG